rnacentral:rRNA from 1 species
CAUGCAAGUCGAACGGCAGCAUAGAGAGCUUGCUCUCUGAUGGCGAGUGGCGAACGGGUGAGUAAAUAUAUCGGAACGUGCCCAGUAAUGGGGAAUAACUAGCCGAAAGGUUAGCUAAUACCGCAUACGACCUACGGGUGAAAGCAGGGGAUCUUUUAGACCUUGCGUUAUUGGAGCGGCCGAUAUCUGAUUAGCUAGUUGGUAGGGUAAAAGCCUACCAAGGCGACGAUCAGUAGCUGGUCUGAGAGGACGAUCAGCCACACUGGAACUGAGACACGGUCCAGACUCCUACGGGAGGCAGCAGUGGGGAAUUUUGGACAAUGGGGGAAACCCCGAUCCAGCCAUCCCGCGUGAGUGAAGAAGGCCUUCGGGUUGUAAAGCUCUUUCGAAAGUGAAGAAAACUUAUUUCGUAAUAUGUUAUAAGUAUGACGGUAACUUUAGAAGAAGCACCGGCUAACUACGUGCCAGCAGCCGCGGUAAUACGUAGGGUGCGAGCGUUAAUCGGAAUUACUGGGCGUAAAGCGUGCGCAGGCGGUUUUGUAAGUCAGAUGUGAAAUCCCCGAGCUCAACUUGGGAACUGCGUUUGGAACUACAAGACUAGAGUGUGUCAGAGGGGGGUAGAAUUCCACGUGUAGCAGUGAAAUGCGUAGAGAUGUGGAGGAAUGCCAACCCGAAGCCAGCCCCCUCGGAAACACUACGUUCA